UCAAUCCAGAUUAGCAUGUAGUCAAUGGCAAAAGCAUUCACAAGGUGUACCGAGUUGUAGCUUUUAUUCAACAGAUAACGAGCGGAAAUCAGAAAACGAAAAUUGUUACAUUGAAUGCGAUCAAGGUCCGUAAUCAGUUGGAUGGCGAGUUUUCUUUAGAUGAUUUCAUAGAUGGUAGCAAAAGAGCCGUUGCAGUUAUCUCCAAUAAAUUG